rnacentral:rRNA from 1 species
GUGUCAGCAGCCGCGGUAAUACGGAGGUGGCAAGCGUUGUUCGGAAUUACUGGGCGUAAAGGGCGCGUAGGCGGGGAGGUAAGUCGGGUGUGAAAUCCCUCGGCUCAACCGAGGAACUGCGCCCGAAACUGCUUCUCUUGAGUCCCGGAGAGGAAGGUGGAAUUCCCGGUGUAGCGGUGAAAUGUGUAGAGAUCGGGAGGAACACCGGUGGCGAAGGCGGCCUUCUGGACGGUGACUGACGCUGAGGCGCGAAAGCGUGGGGAGCAAACGGGAUUAGAUACCCCAGUAGUCC